rnacentral:rRNA from 1 species
GACGAACCGUGCAAACGUUGUUCGGAUUUACUGGGCGUAAAGGGCGCGUAGGUGGCCUGGUCAGCGUGCGGUGAAAGCUCGGGGCUCAACCCCGAGUCGGCCGUGCGAACUGCUGGGCUUGAGCACUGUAGAGGCAGGCGGAAUUCCGGGUGUAGCGGUGGAAUGCGUAGAGAUCCGGAAGAACACCGGUGGCGAAGGCGGCCUGCUGGGCAGUAGCUGACACUGAGGCGCGACAGCGUGGGGAGCAAACAGG